rnacentral:rRNA from 1 species
CCCCGGCGCCACGAGUGGCAAUCUUAUAUUGGGCCUAAAGCAUUCGUAGCAGGUUUAAAAAUCCUUUGUGAAAUCGUCGAACUCAAUACGACGGCAUGCAGGGGACACUUUUAGACUAGAGACUGGGAGGAGUUGGGGGUAUGCCUUGGGGAGCGGUUAAAUGUGAUAAUCCAAGGUAGACCACCUGUGGCGAAGGCGCCCAACUAGAACAGUUCUGACUGUGAGGGAUGAAAGCUAGGGGAGCGAUCCG